CAUUUAAAAAUAUAUUUAACAAAAAUUAUAGAUUGUAUAAUAAGUGAAUUUUAAUCAAUUUAAUGUAUCAUUGCUAAAUAAGUUUAAUUUCUUUAAAAACAAGUAAAUACAUACAUGCAUACAUAAUGCAUCCUUGUUGACUGUACCAUUUUUUCUCUAAUUAUCAUCAAAAAAUGAAAUAAAAUAAUAAUAAUGCAAUAAAAUAAAAUGAUCACAAAAUAUAAAUAAAUUAAAUACAACAAAAUAAAAAUAAAAAAUACUACAAGGUACUUCCGCAUAGUAAUAUAAUAUGUUUUUGUACUUUUUGUAAGUGUAAUACCAUGUUUUGGACACUGAAUACUGUGGUACUAUCAUGGUACAUGUGCAAAAACACAGUGAUACUAAGAAACUUUUGGGUAGUUGUUUGUAAGAGAUGUAGAUACUAUAAUACUGCUACCAUCACUUUUUUUUAAAAAAGCUAAUAAAUUAGAAUACAAAUGUACAUUAUUUGACACUUCUGAUUUAUAUAUUCCAAAAAGACUUACGCAUACAAUUGUCUAAUAAUAGUUGGAUAUGAAUCGUAAAGGCCUGUAUUUAUCUUUAACAAGCAUGAAAUAAUCCCUUUCACAAUAUAAAACCAGUAAUUUUGAGAUAUAUGCUAUAACACCCUCAAAUCUAUUACUGGCAAAGAAGACAGAUCUAUAAUGUGUUGUAAUAUCCAUUGUAACACUUGUAAUAUCCAUCUUUUAUGUUAUCAGCGCUCUUGUAUAACCUCACGUGGGCGGGUCUGUGUGAAUGGAGCUCUAGCAGCGAUCUAAUAUAGUGAUCUGCGCUUGAAUAGAGGAGCUAAAGUGGCAAACCCGCUGCGCGCGCCGCUCCACUGCCAAGGUUCUGGCUCGUGCUGCUCGUGAACAGGUGCCUUCCCAUGAACCCCAGCAUUACCCCGCUUGGCACGGCCCAGUAAACAGUUGUCAGACCCUGUGGGCGUCCGAAUGUGUCACCGGCCUCCAUCACGAGAUCGUGUGGCACCGGCUUCCACCGUGACAGUGGGUUUUUGGCCACAAUGACGAUUACGCGUAUGUGUUUUUGUUGCAGGCUGGCUGCCGACCAUAGGAGUGUUUAAAUAGGCCUGUUCUGUGUUUAUGCGUCACAUGUUGGAGGAGUCACCUAACAUCUGUGCCUGGCAGCACGCGCUGGCACGAUUGCUUCCCAGUCCCAAAAAUACAUUUAAUACACAAUUUAUCAUGAUCGUGAUAUGAAGGUGGCACAUUCGAGGCCUCUGCAUGAGCCUAAUGAGGUGUAUUUUCCUAUUAUGUGAUGGAAAAUUCGAUUGUUCCUGAUUUAAACCAUCAUAGUGGGAAAAUUACAGGUUGAUAAAGGUGUUGCGAGCUACUUAAUUAGACCACUGCAGUUUUUGAUAAAAAAUGCAAAACAGUUCUUGCAGUUUAAGGUCAUUUUAAACACAGACACCUCCUAUUUUAGUAAUAUCAGUGAUAAUAGGAACAUUUCAUGUGUGAAAUUUUAAAACAAAAGCUCCAGUAGGUAUUAGACGAUCUGUCUAAACAUGUAGAAACAAUUGACACGUUUUAAUGUAAAUAAGUUGCUGUGUGAAUGUGUUUGUAGGAUAAUUAAUGAUGUAACCUCAUUAAGAUGAUGACUUUAGGGACUUACAUUCUCAACAGUGAUCAGCCGCCAUCUGCUGGAAGAUUCAGCUACUGCAGACUUAAAGUCAGACAUCUAACUUUGACACGUCGUUGAAAAGAUCACUCCGAGUUCAACAGAUUCUCACACUGACCCAGAAUCCAAACCUCCAGCCGGAUGCUACUUUCUGAGUUUUGAGGUCAAAGGAAGCUAAUUAUACCACAAUGGAUGUCACACAUAAACAUGAGGCCACCGUUGUGCCAUCAGGACAUGAAAUAUGUGGGUCGCAGUAGCUCCCUGAACCUUAUUUAUUCAAAACCUGGGGAAAAAAGACCAGGGACAAACUUGAAUUGAGUGUUUUAUGGUAUUAUGGAGAUCAGAAAUGGAAAGUCCAAAGGCAAAAGUCUGUGAAGAUGCCGUUUUAUGUGCAGUGCAGCUCCGUGACAAAAUAACUCUAAUCUACACAUGAAUUUUUCAUGCCGCUCGGUCUGAGCCGUCAGGACGGUGGCAACAGAAAGCAGACCGGAGAGGAGGAGUUCUGUCAGGAAACAUCAGGUCUGAUUUAUGAAACGUUACAGAGCUCUGCACCACCAGCUGCUGCAGAGAUGCCGCUGUACAUUUACUGAACGAGAUGCACUCAGACGCACAGCUUUAUUUGCUGACCUGGGUUAUGCUGACAUGCAUGACAUGACCUGACCUGAGGUGGAUAUGGAAAACAUUAACAAUCUGACCAUGAUUAAAGGAAUCAAUUGUAAUCUUCUACUGAAUACUUUUAACAAGUAUAUAUUAAAUUACAAUAUCUGAACUUGUAUAUAAAAUAAAUUAUACUUUCUCAAAA